GGGCCCGUAGCCUAGCCAGGUAGGGCGUCCGGCUCCAGACCGGAAGGUCGGGGGUUCAAAUCCCUCCGGGCCCA
rnacentral:tRNA from 1 species